CUUAGCAGCUUCCUUUGGACCUGCCUUCAGCUGUGGCAGAAAACUACCUUUACAUUUCUUACAUCUGGAUGAAGUGUGUUUCUAAUGCAGUCAAGUAUCAAAAUGGAUUUGAAGCAUCAACAUCUUCGGAUGCCACUUUAGUCUUUGAUAUUGGGAAUAAAUACUUUCUUUCUUUUUUAUCACUUACAAAUAAUCCCAAAAAUUAUCAUGUUGUCCUACACAAAACAUAGGCAGUUCCACCUGAAAAAGUGCAUUUGGUACAAAAUGAGGAACACGAAGCAUAGUUCUUAUCAAUUUUGAUUGUAUUGUUUCUAAAACCAUUACAUUUUUGUAGACUCAAAGUUGUAUACUAAACAGAAAAGGUUCAACACCUUGAUUCUAAAUAAUUUAAUUGCUGCAGGGACAAAGUUAUUAGCAUUAUAACUAGCAAAUCUCAAUAAUGAUGUUGGAAUCCUUGUGGGCACAUGGACAAAUAAUUGUUGUGUAGGUGUUUGCCCACAGUGAUACAUAUUUUGAUUAUUUUGUUUGGACAACUAUAAUGUGUUUUCUUAUGGAGACACAUUUGAAGUGUCAACUAAUGUAGAAUGUGAAUCCCAAUUCCAAAUGGACAGCCAAAAAGAAUAAUAUUAAAUAAGUUCUAAAUGACUAAAACAUCAAAUUAGAAACUGGGGGAGUAUGAGUUCUGGUCCCAUCUUUGUCACAAAUGCAGCUGCUGACCUUUUGUCAGUCAUUCUCUCUUAGUCCUAGGAAGAAGGCAACAGCAAAACAUUUCUGAAAAGGUUGCCAAGAAAAUAGCAGGAACUAGUCAAGGCAGUCACCAGAAUUCAAAACUGAUUCAAAGGCAUGUACCCACCCGUUCCCACUGUCACAAAAAAACUGCACUGGUUUUUUACUUGCUCCUCAGGUCCAACUAUAUUUUCAGGAUAUUCUUAGAUUAAAUUUUACUUUGACUGAAGUUCUUACCCUUUAUAAGAAUUGCAUUGCAUACCAAAUCUGCAUUGAUAAAGCUUUUUUCAUAACUGUAUCUUAAGAUGCCCAAAGCAAGACUUUGAUAAACUAAAUUUCAAAUUGAUUCUAUGUAAAACAAGAUGGUCCCUCACACCUAGUUGGCUUUCCAUUAAUAAUAGAAGAAUUACCUACAGUAUGGCAGUUCAGAGAAAUUCCAGGAUGCAGUAAGUAUUGCUUAAGAAAAAAGAAGCAGUAUGUGUCAAUAAUGGAUUCCCAGUGAAAGAGUAUUAGAUGAUUUUACCAAAAGUCUAAAAGAUGAAUAAGUCAGAAACAGAAGCAAUACAGAUUAAUCUAAAUAUUUUGUAAAGUAUGUGUACAUUUAAUGAACUCAAGUAAGGCAGUUAAUAAAUUUUACUUGCUCAUUUAUAUCUUAAUGUAUCCAACAUGAACAAUAUUCAAUUUGUAUUUUGUCUAAUUUCUUUAAACUAAAGGCAUGUGAUUUCACUAAUUCCUGAUACUGCCUUUAGCUUGCAGUCAUUCUUUGUUUAUUAGCGUGAUCAUAAUUUGCAGAAUUAAGACUAUAUAUCUGCAAUCUUGUAAGGUCUCCAUCUCUAGUUCCUGCUGAUGGUUAUUUGGCAGUUAAUACAUAUAUUACUUUGCCUAUUACCAAUCAUCAUUUAAAUGUUGUCUGUGACUAGAAAGAUUAUGGGAGAAAAGUUGCACUGGCAGGGCUCUUAACAUAUUAUUUAUGGGCUAGAUCCUAGAGGGCAGGACAAGAAACAAUGAAUGGAAACUAAUCAAGGAUAGAAGCAACCUGGAAUUAAGGAGAAACUUCCCAACAGUAAGGACAAUUAACCUGUGGAACAGCUUGCCUUCAGAUGUUGUGGGUGCUUCAUUAUUGGAGGUUUUUAAGAAGAGACUGAACAGUCACUAGUCUGAAAUGGUAUAGGAUCUCCUGCUUGAGCAGAGGGCUGGACUAGAAGACCUCCAAGGUCCCUUCCAGCUCUAUUCUGAUUCUGAUUCAGUCAAGGAAAGAAACAGAGGACAAUGAAGAGGCCCUCACCAAUGUCAUCCAAACCCCCCUUAUAAUUUUUAGUGGCAAAACAAGUGUAGGGAGCCAGCAAAAUAGUUGAAUUGUAUAUAAGAUUUUGAAUACAUUCUUCCACAUUUUUGAUUAUAUCUAUCAUUUUAAUGAUUUUGUUUAAAUUGUUUUUGCUUGAAUUAUGUGUUCAGUCUAGAGUCACAUAUGUGAAAUAGAUGGCCAUAUAAAUGUAGUGAAAUAAAAUAAAUAAAAUAAAAUAUCCUGCAA